rnacentral:rRNA from 1 species
GCAGUCGAGCGGUAACAGGAGGAAGCUUGCUUUCUUGCUGACGAGCGGCGGACGGGUGAGUAAUGUAUGGGGAUCUGCCCGAUAGAGGGGGAUAACUACUGGAAACGGUGGCUAAUACCGCAUAAUGUCUACGGACCAAAGCAGGGGCUCUUCGGACCUUGCACUAUCGGAUGAACCCAUAUGGGAUUAGCUAGUAGGUGGGGUAAAGGCUCACCUAGGCGACGAUCUCUAGCUGGUCUGAGAGGAUGAUCAGCCACACUGGGACUGAGACACGGCCCAGACUCCUACGGGAGGCAGCAGUGGGGAAUAUUGCACAAUGGGCGCAAGCCUGAUGCAGCCAUGCCGCGUGUAUGAAGAAGGCCUUAGGGUUGUAAAGUACUUUCAGCGGGGAGGAAGGUGAUAAGGUUAAUACCCUUAUCAAUUGACGUUACCCGCAGAAGAAGCACCGGCUAACUCCGUGCCA